CUGUGGUGACUGCGGAGGAUCAUUAAUGAAUGUUGAAAGGAGUCUGAUGCUGGCGCCUCGGCGCACUGUGCUCGGCUCUGAUCCAUUCACACACACUGUGCACAUGCCUUUUAUUUACCAACGCAUGAACCGUCAUACCAUUCUAUUUGAAUGUAAAUACAACUUUCAACAACGGAUCUCUUGGCUCUCGCAUCGAUGAAGAACGCAGCGAAAUGCGAUAAGUAAUGUGAAUUGCAGAAUUCAGUGAAUCAUCGAAUCUUUGAACGCACCUUGCGCUCCUUGGUAUUCCGAGGAGCAUGCCUGUUUGAGUGUCGUGAAAUCAUCAACUCGACAGAGUUGGAAUUGAGGGUUUCUGCUGGCUCCUCGCGGGGUCGGCUCCCUUUGAAUGCAUUUCAAAAGAUUGAAGCUCCGUCGAUUGGCGUGAUAAGUGUCUCGUCUUGAGGCGUGAGCGAUUUCAUUCUAUCAUGACUCUUUUGACCUCAAAUCAGGUAGGACUACCCGCUGAACUUAAGCAUAUCUAAAACCGGGAAAGAAAAAAUGUG
rnacentral:rRNA from 1 species